rnacentral:rRNA from 1 species
GGUUAAGCGACUAAGCGUACACGGUGGAUGCCCUGGCAGUCAGAGGCGAUGAAGGACGUGCUAAUCUGCGAUAAGCGUCGGUAAGGUGAUAUGAACCGUUAUAACCGGCGAUUUCCGAAUGGGGAAACCCAGUGUGAUUCGUCACACUAUCAUUAACUGAAUCCAUAGGUUAAUGAGGCGAACCGGGGGAACUGAAACAUCUAAGUACCCCGAGGAAAAGAAAUCAACCGAGAUUCCCCCAGUAGCGGCGAGCGAACGGGGAGCAGCCCAGAGCCUGAAUCAGUGUGUGUGU